GGGUGUAUAGCUCAGUGGUAGAGUGUAUGCUUAGCAUGCACGAGGUCCUGGGUUCAAUCCCCACUACCUCUG
rnacentral:tRNA from 1 species